rnacentral:rRNA from 1 species
UACGAAGGGGGCUAGCGUUGCUCGGAAUCACUGGGCGUAAAGCGCACGUAGGCGGAUUGCUAAGUCAGGGGUGAAAUCCUGGAGCUCAACUCCAGAACUGCCUUUGAUACUGGCGACCUUGAGUCCGGGAGAGGUGAGUGGAACUGCGAGUGUAGAGGUGAAAUUCGUAGAUAUUCGCAAGAACACCAGUGGCGAAGGCGGCUCACUUGCCCGGUACUGACGCUGAUGUGCGAAAGCGUGGUGAGCAAACAGG